ACUCAAAGGAAUUGACGGGGGCUCACACAAGCGGUGGAGCAUGUGGCUUAAUUCGAGGCUACGCGAAGAACCUUAUCCUAGACUUGACAUGUGCGAAAGCGUAAGCAGGUAGGACCCGGAAACGGGAACGAACGGUAUCCAAUCCGGAAGCUUAUACAGGUGCUGCAUGGCUGUCGUCAGCUCGUGUCGUGAGAUGUCGGGUUAAGUCCCAUAACGAGCGAAACCCUUACCCUUAGUUGCCAGCGGGUCAUGCCGGGGACUCUAGGGGGACUGCCGGUGUUAAACCGGAGGAAGGCGGGGAUGACGUCAAGUCCUCAUGGCCUUUACGUCUAGGGCUGCACACGUGCUACAAUGGCGUGAACAAAGGGACGCAACUGCGCGAGCAUGAGCAAAUCCCAAAAAACACGCCCCAGUUCAGAUCGAAGGCUGCAACUCGCCUUCGUGAAGUUGGAAUCGCUAGUAAUCGCGGGUCAGCAACACCGCGGUGAAUGUGUUCCUGAGCCUUGCACACACCGCCCGU
rnacentral:rRNA from 1 species